rnacentral:lncRNA from 1 species
GUAAAACAAUCUGUAGCUUCUGAUUGGUUCCACGAGUCUAUACGUACAUAUUUGGCCAGAAUAUGGGUGAAAUAUGAAGAGACUGUUGCUGUGAUCGUUAGCAUGCUAACAGAGGCUAUUUGAUGGUGUCAGAAAGGAAAGAAUAAGGAGAGCAGAACCUGGUUAGAACCAGACCAGGAAGCAUGCUGGUUUUGCUGGAAACAUCUGUCUUGUUGCUCAACACAGCUGCGACAUUCAGGAAAACUAUAACAACAAAACUAAGAUGCAAGACCUCUCCGGAAAUCUUCUACAAUAAUCUCAGUCUAUCAACUAACCGCCCCAAAACGGUGGAUAGAAGUAAGUUUGAGUUCGUAUCGUAUUCAAAGAUAUGGUGCAAUGACUCUCCACUCCUGUGAGGGGCACUUUUGGGAAUCUUCCACAUGUGCGAAGCCCUGAAACAGGUUUCUAAAGUCUGAAAUUGAAAAGAUAGACAGAAGACUUGGCCUUCUCAAGUUUAUGCUAAAGCAGGAUGAUAGAUGGUUGGACAGCUGGAUGGAGGUGAUUUGGCGAUUUAAGGGCCAAUUCUGGGCACUACAAUUGGUUCCUGAGCGAGUAAUACAUCAAAAGGAAUUAAAAGGUGAUUGCACUGUGUGUGUGUGUGUGUGUGUGUGUGUGUGUGUGUGUGUGCGCGCGUGUGUGUGCACAAAACAAGGAAGGAAAUGGGAUCACGCACGUGGGAGGGACGGAUUAAGAUGUGGACAAAAGACGCAAUUGUGAGAUAAAAAAACGAUAGGAAUGAGAGAGGGGGAGGUGAGUUUCAGACACACACACACGCACUUACAUCUGCGGCCCACCCCUUCUCUGUCAUUCAGCAGACCCUGGAGCUUUACCUCCUUCUAGCUGUUGGCUAGAUCAGGACAGUGAUGAUGGGGUUUCUGCUGGGUUUUUUUUACUUCUUCAGCUUUCUCGCCACCAUGAGUCGCCUAAUGACAGCCGUCACCGCCUGAAGAAACAACAAUACUCUCUGCUGGACUUUGCUGCUCCUUCUGGUACCAGCAGCAGGACGAAGCAACCUCAUCAACAAAAUAUUGUGAAAAUGAGUGUGGUUACCUGGUAACAGAUGGGAGAAACUCUGACAACACCUCAGAGGUGGGCAACACAGGCAGACAUUGCUCUGCACAGGCGUGUGUGUGUGUGUGUGUGUGUGUGUGUGUGUGGGUGGGUGGCUGGGCGGUUGCUAGUUAAGCAUCUAUCUGUCUUGAUUGCACCUUCUGCACCAGCAUCGGGACUGUACAGGUCAGCAAUUGAGGUCAGCAGGGGUGGGAGAAACAGCCAGCAGGAAAACACAGAAAACAGCCUAAUCCAUUAGGAACAGAGCUGGGGAGGUCAGGAGCACCUCAGGGCUCCAGAACACCAACACCUCCACCAGCCAGAACCACCCAGGUUCCACCCACCUUCACACAGUUG